AGUCGGCGAUGGACGGCCGCUCCGCUUUAGCGGGGAGGAAAGUCCGGACACCACAGGGCGGGAAGUCCGGUUGAAAAGCCGGAUGCCGCGAACCAGAUGUCGCGGAAAGGACAGUGCCACAGAAAACAUACCGCCGGAACAUGUCAGCGACUAACGUCGUCGGCUUGUUUCGGCAAGGGUGAAAAGGUGGGGUAAGGGCCCACCGCUCCGGCGAGUGAUCCCGGGGGCAAGGCAAACCCCUUCCGGUGCAAGACCAAAUAGAGGACGAGGCGUGGCCCGCGCCGUCCUGCGCAAGCAGGUACAGUCCCGGGUAUCGGUCGCUUAGAUGAAUGGUCGUCGUUCCGCGCUUCGGUGCGGUUCACAGAAUCCGGCUUAUAGUCGCCGGCUGCAU
rnacentral:RNase_P_RNA from 1 species